GACGAACGCUGGCGGCGUGCUUAACACAUGCAAGUCGAACGGAAAGGCCCUGCUUUUGUGGGGUGCUCGAGAGGCGAACGGGUGAGUAACACGUGAGUAACCUUCCCUUGACUUUGGGAUAACUUCAGGAAACUGGGGCUAAUACCGGAUAGGAGCUCCUGCUGCAUGGUGGGGGUUGGAAAGUUUCGGCGGUUGGGGAUGGACUCGCGGCUUAUCAGCUUGUUGGUGGGGUAGUGGCUUACCAAGGCUUUGACGGGUAGCCGGCCUGAGAGGGUGACCGGCCACAUUGGGACUGAGAUACGGCCCAGACUCCUACGGGAGGCAGCAGUGGGGAAUAUUGCACAAUGGGCGGAAGCCUGAUGCAGCAACGCCGCGUGCGGGAUGACGGCCUUCGGGUUGUAAACCGCUUUCGCCUGUGACGAAGCGUGAGUGACGGUAAUGGGUAAAGAAGCACCGGCUAACUACGUG
rnacentral:rRNA from 1 species